CGGAACAUUGGAAGGUGCCCACAACUGGCGUUAGUGUAUCUUUGUCACUUCAAAGCACCUCUGGACAGUCCUUUGCUUUUCCAGACAAGAGUGAGCUUAGGCACGCUUUGCUUCACUCUAGGUCAUUGGACAGGUUCCCUGUUAAAGUUGCAUGAAAACAAAAAGAACCCAUUGAGCCAACAGACGGCAGUGAUUCCGUUAGAGUGAAAGUCGUCCUACACAAGAACCCUUCUCUCUCUUGUCCCUCCCACACCAGCCACGAAGGUUUUCAAAGGGAAGUGCAGGUUAAUUUACUUUUUUUAUAUUUUGUGUCUUCUUUAUUAUUUUGUGUAACAGUAUCGCAGUCCUUUUUACCUGAAUAUUUUUGGGUUGUGGAACGAAUCAUCUGAGUUUCCUUUAUUUCUGCUGGGGAAAUUCGCUUUGAUGUACAAGUGCUUUGGAUUACAGGCAGGUUUCCGGAACAAACUAGGCUCGCAAAUCAAGGUUUCGCUGCGUGUAACUGUGACACGUCAAUCGCGUGUCCAUUUACACGUGUCCCUCAUAUUUAUCAAAAUAGUUCACGUGUCCAUAUAUGGUGGACGGUGAACACACAUCUGAAUAAAUGGCUACACAGAGUUGCCCGUGUGGCCAAAACCAAGUGUAAGGGCACUGUUCACCUUCCCACGUGAUUGGGGUUCUUUUCUGUUUCGUUUUUUUUUUUUUAAUUGAAAUCUCAAAUUGUGUUUUCAUUAGAAGAUAAAUCCUAAAUGUUUUCUCUUGGGGAAACGAAAACCUGCGAAGGCACAAGAUUUAGAGCAAAAUGUUUCUAAAUAUUACGCGUUUCCCGGGAGGCUGACAUUCUGAACAUGGAACAGAAUGGAGAACUCUGUGGAUGAGUGGGUGCGGGUGUCGCGAGAGCUGAUGUCACACAGCCUGGGUUCUGCGGGGUCAGAGAGACCCAUCGGUGACUGUUCACCCAGCAAGCUCCGGCCGGAGACGGGGCAUCGGAAUGUCAGGUCUUAAAACGUGCCCGACAGCUGUCCGUGAAGAUGACAGUGGGAUCGUUAGGGCUUUCUGACGCAAGGGUCUUGUUCCGGAACAUUGUUCUUUUCUGCUGUGGUGUGCGGUUGGCCUCAUGCAGCUCAGGGCCUCGGGACUCAGGGAUUGUUGCUUUUUGUCUGGGAGUGUUGCUGUCCCCGAUCUUCAAAGCCUUUGAGUAGACUGACUGGCUUCGCGAGGCUCCCAGUGUUUGAUGAGCUAAAUCGCUUACUCCAGUGUCCAGAUCACUGGAGUGAGUGGGAGAAGCGGAAGGGCAGAGAGAGAGGUAUGUGUACUCGAUGGUGUGAUGUGCCCUGCUGACGGCCUCCAGUUGUAAGAAACGGGCUUUAAAAAAAAAAAGAUAUCUAAUCUCACGUUUAUCAUAAAAUCUCUGAAGGGAAAUAGGACAGUGGCAUCGGCACAAAAGGCAGGUGACUUGGAGAAGGCCAUCCGGGGACUCGGCUGUCACCUAGCUCCCUGCUGUCCGGUUCCCAGCGACAGAGCCUCAGAAAGCGGUCCUAUGGCAGUGGUCCAGAGAGGUGGCCUGGGCCGCAUCUCCCGGCCCCAGCCCCGUUGUGUGAAAUACAGGCUGUCUGUGUUGA